rnacentral:rRNA from 1 species
UACGUAGGGGGCAAGCGUUGUCCGGAUUUAUUGGGCGUAAAGAGCGUGUAGGCGGCCAGGUAGGUCUGCUGUGAAAACUCGAGGCUCAACCUCGAGACGUCGGCGGAAACCAUCUGGCUAGAGUCCGGAAGAGGAGAUGUGGAAUUCCUGGUGUAGCGGUGAAAUGCGCAGAUAUCAGGAGGAACACCAUGGCGAAGGCAGCUCGCUGGACGGUACUGACGCUGAGACGCGAAAGCGUGGGGAGCGAACAGG